rnacentral:rRNA from 1 species
UCCUAAAGGUAAUUUUAACCCAUCCUAUUUGGCGGCCUUCUAUCUCACUAAAGGAACUUGUUAUUUAACCGAUGAUACGCGAUAAUUUUUACUUAGACCUAAUUUUUAUAUCUCCGUCCAAAGGGUAAAAUCAAACAUUUUAUUCGCGCCAUACCCUUCCAAGCAACCAUGUCAGGUCAAGGUGAAGUUAAUGUCUGAGUUUCAAUGAGUUAUCAAUAAAUAUAAUUUAUGGACUUUUGUUUAAAACCAAAAAUCGAAUUAAGAUUUAAAAGUAUUUUCUACUCAAUACAUCGGAAAGAAUAAGCAAAAAAGGUGUACAUAUCGCCCGUCGCCCUCGUCCAAAGAUGAGGUAAGUCGUAACACAGUUAAUAUACUGGAAAGUGUAUUAGGCGUAUUUCUCGCUAGCUUUUAGUAUUUCACUUACACUGAAAAGAUCCCAUUUUCUUCAAUCCUAAUCUUAUUAACAAAAUCUUUGCACUUUUUCCUAUCUAGUUUAGUCCUAUGAAAACUGAAAAGGAGAAUCACAAUAUUUUUAAAGUAAAUACAUGUACCUUUUGUAUCAGGGAUUUUCAAAUUUUAAUGUGUAUCACAGAUUCCCGAAAUUAGACGAACUUCAUACCCUUAUAAAAGUUAUGGCAUAAACAAUACAAAUUCUAUGAAGUUGAGAUAUUCUUUUCAAGUAUUCCUUUAUCUGGUUCACCUUUUCCUUUUUUCUAAAAUUAUACAAAGAAUAAGCUUAGUAUCAAGGUUCAUUAUUUUUCCUUUUCCUCAAUUUAGAUUUAACAGUAUCCAUAUUGUCCUUAAACAUUUUUUCCUUCAUUUCUUUAAACAAAAUUUAAGUGAUUUAUUUUCUCUCCAUUACAAUGAAAAUAUUAGUAAAAAAUUUUCCUUUUCCCUUAUUCUUUAAAAUUAUUUCCCCCUAUAAAUCUACAUUGAAAUCAUGAACUAGGCCUUUAGUCAAUUGACUGUUUACCAAAAACAUAGCUAAUAGAUUUCAAUUACUAGUAGUACCUGCUCCA